UACAUUGUCAGUCAUUUGAUCUUGACGCAAACGUGUCACAGCAAUUGGUGAAGUGGUUUUGUUGAUGUUUUUGUUAAUGUUUAUCUCAACAGCAGAUGGUGAAGAUGCACCACGUGAGUAGGGGUGAGAGGCCUGGACACUCAACUGGUGUGGGCCAUCUCCAAGGAGACAGCCAGGCUUAGUCCAGAGGGCAUGCCCUUACUAUGCCACCAAAGUGCAGUCCAUCACUUGGAUCCAGCGUGUGGCUGACAGGGUGACCAACUAUGCAUCUCUCCUCCGCCACGAGACGUCUGUGGAUGUGACGCUUGGCUGCUACCAGGUGUGUUGUGAGCAGCAGACUGAUGUCUCAGUGGUGUGCGCCACUCUCCACAUGGGGCUGGAUGGGCUUUUCACCUCUUCAGCGUGGUCGGAGGCUGCCUCCUUCUCUACGCUCACCACUCAGCAGUUCA